UCUCCGUAGGUGAACCUGCGGAGGGAUCAUUACAGAGUUCAUGCCCUACCGGGUAGAUCUCCUAGCCGAUGUUAUUAUUACGUUAAUGCUUUGCCGGUCGGUUAGGCUCCGGCCCGCCUUCCGGCCCCGGCUGGUCAGCGCCCGACAGAGGACCCAAAACCCUGAAUCUUGGUGUCGUCUGAGUACUAUAUAAUAGUUAAAACUUUCAACAACGGAUCUCUUGGUUCUG
rnacentral:misc_RNA from 1 species